UCCCGUAUGGAGUAGUGGUUAACUCACCGGCAUCCGACUCAGUCAGAAAGCCGGGUACCCGGGUUCGAAUCCCGGUGCGGGCA